UACGUAGGGGGCUAGCGUUGUCCGGAAUCAUUGGGCGUAAAGCGCGUGUAGGCGGCCCGGUAAGUCCGCUGUGAAAGUCGGGGGCUCAACCCUCGAAAGCCGGUGGAUACUGUCGGGCUCGAGUACGGAAGAGGCGAGUGGAAUUCCUGGUGUAGCGGUGAAAUGCGCAGAUAUCAGGAGGAACACCGAUUGCGAAGGCAGCUCGCUGGGACGUUACUGACGCUGAGACGCGAAAGCGUGGGGAGCGAACAGG
rnacentral:rRNA from 1 species